rnacentral:tmRNA from 2 species
GCUCUUCCCUCGGGCACGAGAAGACACUAUAUGCGUAUUGCCGGUUUUCGGACCGGCUAUGGCAAUAAAUGAGCGAUGUAAUAAACCUAUUGGACCCGGGGGCGGUACCCGGCGCCUCCACCAAAAACCGGCCAGAGAUGAUCGGCUUUUGAUGGGGGCGAAACAGGAUCGACAAGGGUGUAAAGAUCUACUUUUUGCCCGGCAUUGUACCACCGUUAUCGGACUAAAUCUGUAGUUGCAAACACCAACUAUGCGGAAGCUCGUCUCGCUGCUUAAUCGCAGUGUGACACUUCAAAUCAAGUCCUGAAGGUUCGCACCUUAAGGCGGGGUUCGGAGGUACCUGGCAACAGAAACCUCCACC